AUCUCGCUUGCGUGACGACGCAUGCGAGAAACCGCACGUGUAGACCGCAAAAAGUACGAAGCAUGCUUUUUCUCGCAUACCGAGCGGUAUGCGAGCUCUCGCUUGCUUUCAACUGUCAUUUUUGUGGCUGUAAUUUAGUU